AUAAACCGGUGAAAAAAAAACUGGGAUCGAUCUCCGCCGCCGCCCGAUCGCACGCCCGAUCCAACCUCCUCCGCCGCCAUCUGGUUCCCCUCCGCUCCCAUCUGCUGCCUCUACCGAGAUCCGAGGCCUUCGACUUGUGGGCUGCCACCGCCGCCGCUGAACCCGGGGCAAGGCAGGGCGUGGCCGCAUUGUGGGCAACGAGGAGCGGCGCACGGGCGUGCCCUGCAUCGAGGAGGAGCUCAGGUACUUUCAAAUCGAGGAGGAACACCGCUGUCUAGCUACAUGGUGGCCGCUCCCCUCGACCCCCUCCAUCGCCUCCGCCGCCGCCGCCGAGGUACGGGAUCGCUGCCGAGCCGAGGUACGAGAUCGCCUCCAUCGCGUUCCUUCCCUGGCCACGCCCCUCCCAAUUUCUUCCCCUCACCCAGCUAGGGUUCUCACCCGCCGCCGCUCCCCUGCUGCUACCCGGCACCCGAUGCCCUCCACGGACACCACCACCAUGAUGUCGGAAGGAAGAGCAAGAGGGGUCGUCGAGGCUGGGUGCCGCCGUGAGGAUGCUGGCGCCCGUGCGCGGUGAUGGCAUUGUGGCGGAAGAAGGUCUUCUUCCUGGGGAGCCGCGCGCUGGCCGCCGUCUCCACCUGCGGCCACGCCAACCAGACAGAUACGCCGCCGCGCCAUCGACAUAUUCCCUACUCCCGUGCACGUAUGGUCAAGCAUGUAGCGCUUAUCUUGCCCCAUGCGGCCUUGGCAGAUCUCAAUGCUUGCUUGCUAAUGUGCGUGUGUGGAUGUUGCUGGUUGCUGCUGCUGUGCACGUGUGCUUGGUGUGCCCCUGCUGUUUUGUGUUCUCACCACCACAUCCACGACAAAUAAAAUUUCUCCCCGCCUCUCUCCCAACUCACGAGCAGUCUUAUCGAGGCAACGCGACACCGACCAGCCGGCCACAGACGGUGGCAGUGUUCAUCCCUGAAUGUCAAGUUGGCGCAGGUGUACAGCGGAGGUAUAUAUGUGAUAAGGUGAUGUGAUCAUUAGAAAAACCAGAGAAGGGAGAGAUGUGUGGGAGCUCGAGGGCGAGAGGAAGACGGAGACGGCACGGGGCAGCGUCCUGCAGGUGGGGAGAGCUGGAGGCAUGCUGGCCCAGGCAUGGUCAACACGAGGCGAUCGAGCUGCUCUGCUCGUUACUGAAGAACAGAGGCAGCAGCAGGUUCGUGGCGAUGUAACGGCGACACAAGAGGUUCUGGAGACAGGGCGGCCGGUACCGGCUGGAACGGGGUGGAUCCAGUCGGCCGGCGUCGGUUCCGGGCAACGGCGGCGGUGGACAGAGCUCGGGCGCGUAGCUCAGCCAUCCAUGGCGUACUGCCGAUGGUGCACAGAGAGAGAUGUUAGAGAGAGGGGAAAACUCAGGCUUCAAUCCAAUCUAUCCCUGUACGUGUGGUAUUGGUUGCUAGACACAAAGGCAUACACAAAUCUUUGCUCGUGCCAUUAUUUAUUCAGGAAGCACCUAGCAGUGUAAUCUCAUGCAUCAAGUCGAAGGGGGUUGUUUGAGCCCAACGUUAGUGUUAAAAAUCACCUCAUCUCCACUGGCGAACCCAGCCGCAACGCAUCCUUCACAUCACUGAUGGUGUAUCAUUCUCCAGUGUCUCAACAUAGUCUGCCUUUUAGUUAUCCAACGUCGAUGUUAUAUCAUUCAAACUCAAAGUUCAGCUUGCAAGCUCUUAUGUUAUUAUCUAACCAGUGUUUUGUUUCAAAUGCUUUGUCUUAAUUCAGACCUUUGAUUCUACGAUCAUAUAUUGGAGUUAGUCUUUGUUAGUUUUUAUUGUAAUACUGCUCGGAUGGUUGACACCUUUCUUUAUGGGCAUGAUAAAUGUUCUUUAAUCUUUUGUUCUGGUCGUCCUGUUUGAGUGGUAAAUUAUUCUUAAGGUUUGUAAGAACAAAUUUAUAUAUUAUGUAUCCAUUGCAAUGCAUGGGUUCUUACCUACAUAUUAAAUCUA